UCAGCUUGGUAAGGAUACCCCCUGAAUUUAAGCAUAUAAUUAAGGGGAGGAAAAGAAACUAACAAGGAUUCCUUUAGUAACGGCGAGUGAAACAGGAUGAGCUCACCUAUAAUCGGCAAUUUUUUGCCGAGUUGUGGUCUGUAGAAGCAUUGUCGGUCGAGGUUCCGGGCUAAGUCUCUUGGAAAAGAGCAGCUGAGAGGGUGACACUCCCGUUCUUGCCUGGGAUCUGCGAUCAUAGCACAUGCCUUCAACGAGUCGAGUUGCUUGGGAUUGCAGCUCAAAUGCGUGGUAUACUCCAUGUAAAGCUAAAUAUAGGUAGGAAACCGAUAGCGCACAAGUACUGUGAAGGAAAGAUGCAAAGAACUUUGAAAAGAGAGUUAAAGAGUACCUGAAAUUGCUGAAAGGGAAGCGAAGGAAACCAGUGCUUGGCUUGGUCAUAUUUCUCGAAUCGCUUGCGGUUUGGGCGCUGUGUCGUUGCCUUUGUCAUUUUUGCUUGUUCUCGGCGGAAACGUGUGUUCGGGAGGUAGCGCUUGCGUGAUACCGUUCACAUUAUUGCUGGGUUUGAGUGAGGCUGACGAAAUGGUUUUCUUUACCCCGUCUAGUAACACGGACCAAGGAGUCUA
rnacentral:rRNA from 1 species